UUGUUUCCUCCAAAACUCAUGUUGAAAUUUUAUUGCCAUUGUGAUGGUAUUGGGAGGUGGGGCCUUUAAGAGGUAUUUGAGUCAUGAUGGCUCCAUCUUCAGGAAUGAACCAAUGCCUUUAUCCUGGAAGGGGGUUCUCCCUUUCUUGCUCUCUAUCUCACUCUCUUUGUUCCCAUCCACCAUAGAAUGAUGCAGCAAGAAGGCCCUUGCAAGAUACUGGCCUGUUAAUCUUAGACUCCCCAGUCUCUGGAACCAUGAGCCAAACAAUUUGUUUAUUAUAAAUUAUUCAAUCUGUGGUAUCCUCUUAUAGUAACACAAAACAAAGACAAUGUGCAAGUUUUGAUGAAGAAUAUUUAAUAGUGUUUUCCAAAUUGUAGGAUUAAUAUAAAAAUCAUUUUAUAGCUAGGUUGUAAGGAUAACAGUUGACUGAAGUGAUAUAUAAAUGUAUAGCUUUCUGAUGUUACAGUCUGAGCUUAAGCACAGCGUUAUGUCAUGCCUUAAGUCUCACCGAUACCUGGUUUAGAUGAGACUUUGGACUUUUGAGUUGAUGCUGGAAUGAAUUCUUAAGCGGCUAUUGGGAUGGAAUAAAUAAUAUUAUUUGUGAGAAGGAGAGGAGGUUUUGGAGCAGUGAGUAGAAUGUUGUUGUUGAAUGUCUGUCCCUUCUAAAACUCAUGUUGAAAUGUAAUUGCCAUUGUGAUGUCACUGGGCUGACACAGCAGCUUCUUUUGCUGUGUUGUGCUAUUGCCCUCAUCUAUAAGGUUCCAGAUGACUUGCUGUUGUGUCCAGUUUCCAAGCCACAAAAUGAAAAACUGAAGGGACAGGAGGAGCACAACCCUUUCCUUAAGGGCUUGCCCUGGCAUGUUAACAAUCUGGAAAUUAAAUCAAGGUUCUGCUUAUACAGUACCCAUAAGAGGCACAAGAAUAUCUUUUAAAAUAUCAGGAGGCACUUAUCUUCAAGACUGUACAUGAAGGAGUAAUCCACCUAGAAAAACCAGGCUUCAGUGGCCAGGUUCAGCAUUCCAUGUCAGUGGUGAUCAUUUUACUGAGAAGGAAGCCAUGGGAUGGGCAGGUUCUUCUAAAGGUGAAUGGCUAUACAAGCUGUGAUACAACCAAACCACAGAAUGCCACUUAGAAAUAUAAAGGAACAGACUACUGAUACAUAAAACAACUUGGAUGAACCUCAGAGCAAUUAUCCUCAGUGGAAAAAGCCAACCUACAAUGAUUACCUAGUGAAUGAUUUCAUUUACGUAACAUUCUCGAAAUGCCAAGACCAUAGAAAUGGAAAACAGGUCUUCAAGUAAUUGGAUGAGGUCCAUCCACAUUAGGAAGGGAAAUCCACUUUACUCAGUCUGCUGACUCAAAUACAUCCAGAAUCACCCUUACAGACAUGCAGAAGAAAUUGUUUGAUUAAAUGUGCAGGCACUCCAUGGCCCGGUCACAUUGACAACUAAAAUUAACCAUCACAGGAGUCACGGAGUUUACACCAGGUUGUGAAUUCAUUACUGAAAAGGGAAUGUAUUGAACAUCAAUUCAACAAAAAAUAUUGGGGAUCUGCAAUGUGCAUAUUGCCAGAUGCUUAGGGUAAUCCACAAAUGUAGAGAAAAUACUUGCUAAUCAAAUAUCGGAUGAGACUUGUAUCCAGAAUAAAGAACUUCUACAACUGAACAUUAAAAGACAAAUAGCCCAAU
rnacentral:lncRNA from 1 species